UACAGAGGUGGCAAGCGUUGUUCGGAAUUACUGGGCGUAAAGGGCGCGUAGGCGGUCUUGUAAGUCUCGUGUGAAAUCCCUCGGCUUAACUGAGGAACUGCACGGGAUACUGCUUGACUUGAGUUCGGGAGAGGGAAGCGGAAUUCCGGGUGUAGCGGUGAAAUGCGUAGAUAUCAGGAGGAAUACCGAUGGCGAAGGCAGGUCUCUGGGCUGACACUGACGCUCAUGCACGAAAGCGUGGGGAGCAAACAGG
rnacentral:rRNA from 1 species